AUAAAAACCUAAAACUAAGAACUCAAAAUCGAAAUGAAUUGAAACCUUAACUACUCAUACUCUUGCACAGUGCUAAUAAUCUAUUGCAUAGAGUCUCUCAUCCUAUACACAUUGUACAUACUACUCACACACUGUCCACACUCCUACAUACUCUGCACCCUCUUCAAAAAAACUAUUAUAACCCUUUAUAUAGGGUAAGAACCAGAGGGAAAAGGGAAAAGGGAGAAACCUUUUAUGCUUCGCUUCACAAUCCAAUGAUCCCUCCUUUUUACUUCGAACCACACCUUUAGGGCCUCUAAUAAUCUUCAACCUCUUCUUUCUUUCUACCGAUUGAGCCUCCGUACACAUGCCUCAUAUUACUUCAUGCUCCUAGGCAGACAGUUGCUCCAUCCACCACCCCAAAUGACUCCCUGCACCUCCCCAAUUUUUCUUUUAUUCCAAAAUACUCUUUCUUACAUUUAUUAUUUACUUUUUUAACUUUUAAUGUUAAAACCCUAAUCCCUUACCCCACUUUUCAAUUUCACUUUCACGCUGCAACACUAAUACUCUCACUUUCUUUCUCUUUUUCUCUGCAACCCCACCCCUCACUUUCCUUUUCUUUCUCUCUUUCUCUACAACCCACCCCCACCUCCCAUUUCCCUUUAUUUAUUUCUAUCACUUUCUCUCUUUCUAUGCAACCCUCCCCCCC
rnacentral:lncRNA from 1 species